AGUUACUGAGGGAAUAUGUGAGAGGCAGUUCCUGUCAGGACAGUAAUUGUUACAUCACAGAAGAAGCUAGGGCUCUCCUAGUUACAACAAAUUUGUCAUGGAGGUCCUAUUUAUGAUGUCACUGAGAACGGCCAUCUCCUACAUGCUAAACAGCUUUCCUUACAUUUACCAGAUUCGAAGGUGUCCUUUCCAGUUCAAGGUAAACUGGAGGUUCACUUGGGAUGCAAUGAAGAGCCCCUGACAAGCAUAUUCUUCAAAGCCUCCCAUGGUGUAACUGAAGAUACGAUAUGUGAAGUAGCCCUAGCUUGCCUGCUCAAGGAGGGACAUCAGAAUGAUACCUUUUGCUCCAGUUGUUCUCAAAUUCACAUCUUCUGUCCAUGGGAUCUGUAAUGUCACCAUUUCAUAGAAGAACUUCAGUGUCUCUCCUUUCCCUAUGGGAGCAUCAACACUCCACAUCUACUCACAAGUAUUUCACCUUUUUUCUCUGUAUAGUGGACAAGAGCACUUUCACCAAAGGCCCACAUUGGCCUGAAAUAUCUUCUUUUGCCCAAGGCGUACUCAUGCCUGCACUCUCUUGUGGCCAUCAUUAGCACUUCUUCUCUUGAUUUUGUGAGCCUGCUAUAUCCCAACUGUUUAGGAUUACAUACAAACUUAUUUCUGCUACAUGUAUUCUGAGACAUUCCUCCAUGGAAGGAAGGGGUGUUGAUCUUUUCUUGUCUGACAAAAGUCUUCAAAGCCCAAAGACAACUGCUGGAAUGAAAUGCAACCUAUAGGACUGAUGGAAGAAUUGCUACCUGGACUUUCAAAUGCCAUGAAAAUAUAUGGACAUUCUAAAUACUGAUAAAGAAUAGGAAGCUGAUCAAGCAAUACUGGAUCUUCCUCUGCUCCACGAGAGGUGUCCUUUCACAUGCAGAGGAAUGUGUAGAUGGACAUAUAUUUGAAUAAGAUACUGAACCUAAGACUACUGCAUUAGAGCCUCGUACAAGACUUCUAAGACUGUUGACUGCCUACCAUGGAUAUUCAGGCAUCUGCAGAUACUACCUUUUGAGGAAUGAAUCCUUCUCAGGAGACAAUAGACGGAACCUGCACUUCAAUGAUAAUUAAAUGGCACUUCAAGAUAUCAAAUCAAAAUAUCAAAGUGAGAAUGGAAUAAAUUUAUUAGUACAGUGUUUUGCAAACAACUUCUUUCACAAACAGCCUUGGAAGGAGAAUUCUGAAAUUUUGCAUUUCAUAUUUGACUUUGCUGGUACUCUGAAAAAAAUCAACUCACAACUGUUUGGGGCUUUAUGGGCAAUAAAAUACUACAAACAGA